UUCAGCAGUUAGUCGGGCGACAGACGCCUGGCGCGCGUCUCCAAACACGUGAUGCCGUUCUUUCGACACGAGCCUGUGGAGU
rnacentral:tRNA from 1 species